CCCCGCCAUCGCCUCCCGUGAGCCUCUCUCGGCCGCCGCCGGAGAGAGAAGCUCGCUCUCGUCCCUACCACCACCCUGUCUCCUACUCCUGCCCCACCUUCGUCCGGCCCCCCAAAACCGUAACCCUAACCCUAAAUCGCCCCCUCCAAACCCUAACCCUCCUCCCGCCCUUCAAUUCGCCUCGCCGGGACCCGAUCCCGUCCCCUCCGUCGCCGCCAUGGCACUCCUCUAAACUGCGCCGCUCGAUCGGCGCCCUUAUCUCCCUCCUCGCCACCACUGCUACAUCGGAUCCUCCACCUCGCAGUUAUGGCGAUCCGUUCCUUCCUCAGCCUGGCGCAGCAGCUCGCCAACAUCCGCUGCUGCGGUCCGUGCCGGAUCGUCCCCG
rnacentral:misc_RNA from 1 species